rnacentral:lncRNA from 1 species
UGCUUGACUAAAAGGUGCCAGUUCAAGGUGCUCAUGGAAUUCAGGUGGAACCUCUUUCGGAAAGCCCAGAGAGGGAAUCGUGCACAGGAGAUUCAGCAUCUGCCCAAAGAACAAAGGAAAUCCCUUAUUUUAGUGGCCUUUAAAGGAGAGAGUUCUCCUAGUUAGAGGGAAGGGGCUUCUGAGGGUAGCAACUUUGUGACAAUAUUAGACAGGAUAUGAAGAGACUACACUGUGGAUGCCUCAUAGUCAGGUGAGAGGAACCCUGGGUUUGUUCCAAGAAUGACUUUUGGAAUCAUGCUGCCCUGCCUUCUGCAUCUUCACCAAGAAUUUGCUACCAGAGACAAAGCUCUACUUCUACUUGAUUACUUCUGGCCCAUAUCCAGCAGGAAGCAGCCAAAAUAGCCCAGCAAUCAUUGGUAUAUCAUCUUCUUCCUCUGAAGGAGCAGCAGCCAUUUCUCCAGUGCUGGCCAAGAGGGGUGUUGAAAGGGAGACGCUGCUGGUUCCCUGUAUCUAAAAGACUGAUUAUAUACGUUGCUUUUCCACAUGUCGGUGUUCCUAGUUUGUAGUGUGAAUAUUUGUGUGUUUAAGCUAGACUUAUUUGGAACGAAUAUAUAUAUUCUUCUGAAUUAAAAUGCUUUGGCAAAGGAAAAGCAUAAGUCACCCAAAGUGAAAAACUUCAGCAAAUACAGAAAGAAGGAGCUAUUUUUCCACCAGAGACUCAAGAUUUUGAAAAAUUUAAGAAGGUUCCAGAUGCUCAGUUGGAAGAAACAGUUUCAGAAGAAAAAUCUACUAAGAAGUUAGCUGGAGGCUCUCCACUCAAAGCCCAUGAGAAAGAGAAGGUGCUCUUGCAGCAAUGAGUGGAUAGUGGAAAGCUAAAGUCGACAUAUUAUCAUCACCUCUGAUUAUAAUUGUUAAAGGUAGAGAAAAGAAGUGUACAAUUUGAAGGCAU